rnacentral:lncRNA from 1 species
UAAUUGGUUCAAAAGUGUCCAAAGUCAGAUAAACACAAAAAUUUAACAUCAAACAACCAAGAAAACACUCACCGAGGCAAACGAGCAAACGACUUGCUAGCAAUAGAAACACUCAACAUCGACUGAGGCUGAACUCCACAUAGCGCAACCGACGUACCCGCACAAGAUAUGAAAGGGACGACGGAGAUGCGGUGGUUGAGGGCGGAGAAGAAAUAA